CGGGCCACUAUGGCUCGGUUUUUGCGCCGG
rnacentral:sRNA from 1 species